rnacentral:rRNA from 1 species
AAUAAACGCUGGCGGCGUGCCUAACACAUGCAAGUCGAGCGAGAAAGCUCCUUCGGGAGUUAGUAAAGCGGCGAACGGGUGAGCAACACGUGAGAAUCUACCCUUUAGUGAAGAAUACCCUCGAGAAAUCGAGGCUAAUACUGCAUACGUCCCUUCGGGGAGAAAGAUGGCCUCUUUGCUAUCGCUAAAGGAUGAGCUUGCGUACUAUUAGCUAGUUAGCGGGGUAAAGGCCCACCAAGGCAAUGAUGGUUAACCGGCCUGAGAGGGUGUACGGUCACACUGGAACUUAGACACGGUCCAGACUCCUACGGGAGGCAGCAGUGAGGAAUCUUGCGCAAUGGGCGAAAGCCUGACGCAGCGACGCCGCGUGGAGGAUGACGGUUUUCGGAUUGUAAACUCCUGUUAAGCGGGAAGAAAGCCUUGUUUCUAAUACAAGCAAGGUAUGACGGUACCGCUAGAGAAAGCACCGGCUAACUUCGUGCCAGCAGCCGCGGUAAGGUAGA